rnacentral:rRNA from 1 species
UACGAAGGGGGCUAGCGUUGCUCGGAAUCAUUGGGCGUAAAGCGCACGUAGGCGGGUUUUUAAGUCAGGGGUGAAAUCCUGGAGCUCAACUCCAGAACUGCCUUUGAUACUGUGAAUCUCGAGUCCGGGAGAGGUGAGUGGAACUGCGAGUGUAGAGGUGAAAUUCGUAGAUAUUCGCAAGAACACCAGUGGCGAAGGCGGCUCGCUGGACCGGUACUGACGCUGAGGUGCGAAAGCGUGGGGAGCAAACAGG